UACGAAGGGGGCGAGCGUUGUUCGGAUUUACUGGGCGUAAAGGGCGCGCAGGCGGCCGCAUUUGUCAGGCGUGAAAGCCCCGGGCUUAACCUGGGAACUGCGUUUGAUACGGUGUGGCUAGAGUUCGGGAGAGGAGAGUGGAAUUCCCAGUGUAGAGGUGAAAUUCGUAGAUAUCUGGAGGAACACCGGUGGCGAAGGCGGCAUUCUGGACUACAACUGACACUGAGGAACGAAAGCCAGGGGAGCAAACGGG
rnacentral:rRNA from 1 species